rnacentral:rRNA from 1 species
GGAGCGGCCGAUGCCUGAUUAGCUAGUUGGUGGGGUAAAGGCCUACCAAGGCAACGAUCAGUAGUUGGUCUGAGAGGACGACCAGCCACACUGGGACUGAGACACGGCCCAGACUCCUACGGGAGGCAGCAGUGGGGAAUUUUGGACAAUGGGCGAAAGCCUGAUCCAGCAAUGCCGCGUGAGUGAAGAAGGCCUUCGGGUUGUAAAGCUCUUUCAGUCGAGAAGAAAAGGUUGUGACUAAUAAUCACAACUUAUGACGGUACCGACAGAAGAAGCACCGGCUAACUACGUGCCAGCAGCCGCGGUAAUACGUAGGGUGCAAGCGUUAAUCGGAAUUACUGGGCGUAAAGGGUGCGCAGGCGGCUUUGUAAGUCAGAUGUGAAAUCCCCGGGCUUAACCUGGGAAUU